UCUAAUAAGCUUUUUUCGUUAUUCAACGCCUGCUGAAGUGAGAAAAUCCUAGAAAGAGCUCUGUGAAAAUCAAAGUCACGAAUCGUACUCUAAUUUUCCGAUUGUAGUUCAGAGACAGUGAGGUGGUGGUUAGGAAGCCUUGAGUUAGUCAUUCACAGUAUGGAUUGGAGGUUAAUCGAAAAGGGGAUUUUGGUUUUCUUGACUGGAACUUAAGGUGUCUUUGGAUUCCAUAGGCGAGCUACGGAGGUUAAGGUUUGAGUUGUGAGUCGAGGUGGGAAUCCCCCCACCCCCCUAAGAUGUUUCCUCGCGGCCCUAAUGAUCCCGUUUACGGGUUACCCAAGUAAUGGAGGACGGAUGUUAUGCGGUACAAAUACAGUUGGGCCGUCGUCGUCUUCUAUAUGUCCAUCAGGUUUGUUUUGUUUUAUAGGAUCAUAAGAAUGUCGUUCCUUGUAUGAAGCCAUGAACGUCAGCGAGUAUGAUGAAGAAUUGGCCACUGGAAGCAAUGGAAUCAACCAUUGGAGGAAGUAAUCGACCUAGUCUGUUCUACGGGGUUGAUGCCUACGGUCGAAAUUUUUGCUCUUGGUUACGAAAAACCUCUUUGUUCCGCCUUUGUCGAGAGAUAUUAUGGGGAAACAGAUACUUUCCAUCUUCCGUUUGGCAAAAAGACGACAACUACAAAUGACGCGAAGUUCAUUACCGGGAUAAGCAUAAAAGAUAAGCCGUGAAGCACGAAGAGUACGCGAAAUAUCUUGAGUGGGACAAGAUUUACGCGUUCACCAAGGAUGUAUUCAAAUGGAUGAGCAUAUGACCAAGUCAGAGAUCCUAGUAGGAAAGGUAAAGCAUAUGAUAUUUCAUCUCUCGAAGCUGAGGGACAAAUUCAUGGGAACAAAGAAGCUUCGUGCUGAGGGGAAAGAGUUGACGCCGGAACGUAUCAUCACCACGACCGAUGCGUAUAUCCUUUACGUCCCGGGAGCUGUUAUCUUCCUCGACGUUUCCGGUGCCCGUGUGAGCACCAAAUUUAUUCAGUUGUUUCAACCAUUUAACAAGAUUCACAAAUACUCUUGGGGCACUGCCAUCUUUGCUGCAGGCAUGAAUAUAUUUGCACUUCCCAAUAUUUGCUCAAAGGGAUUUUCUUAACAAGGAAUGGGACCGCAUGCAUUAUGGAGACAUGUACACCUACAAAAGUAUUUUUGGGAAAUAAACGUUUUUUGAAGAAUCAUCUCGAAAAACUGCUAAAGACAUCCCGGAGGACAUUUGUUAAGCGGACCCCAGAUUUGGAUAAGGGGCAUCCAAGGUUAUGUGCAACCCAAAUUCAUUCUCGGCACCCAUGGAUAUGUAUAGCCCAAAUUCAUUCCAGGCACCCCAGCUAUUAAAGGAGCCCAUAUUUUGGAUCAGGGCACUUCAUCUCCUUUGUUUGAAUUUCAAAAUUGGCGGGAAAACUUUGUGUGAAGCAGGCAGAAUUAGGAUUGGAGUUUUUGUGCGAUUCAGUGAGACUCAAUUGAUUGGGAAGACUUGUUUCAGACUCACAGACCUGGUAAGGUUUCCGGAAUUGAUCAGAAUUGGCUGAAUCAUCAAGUUUGAGUGAAUCAGGAAGUCACGGCUUUUGCUUAAGAAAACCCGAGAAUUGUUGUUUUCAAUUUUGGAGAUUGUUGGAGUGAUUAAAUCACUCAGGUGGAUUGGGACGGACCUGUUAGUCCAAGACAGGCGAGGUAUGUUCACCAGAUUCGGAAAAUAAGGGAUGAUUUACUAUUUUUUGGAGUAAACGGAGCACAAGAUAUACUCGGGUUUCUGUUGGAUGAGUAUGUGGAGAUUAUGUAUCUGGAGUGUGUAGCAAUCCCCGUUUCAUGAGUUUUCAUCAAUACUGGAGAGUUUUACUAUGAUUUGGAAUGUGCCAGCGACAAUCAGACUCGUGGAGGAGAUAAAAAUGGAAACAAAAUAUUCUUUCUUCACUGCCGAGUAAUGGGAGGAUUAUAUGCAAUUAUGACGUGAUAUUUCGGGGAUGUUUCAUUAUAAAUAGACGCUGGGAGUCAGAGAAUGGGUACAAAGUGACUGGGAGUAAUAGAGAGCAAAGAAUAGAGUUGAAGCCAUCGAAGAACAGAACACAGUCAUAUACCACAGUUUUUGGCUGUCAUCUAUUCUUCACCUUCGUAACAGUACUUUGUAACAACCUUGAAGUGUGAUAAUAAACCCUGUAACAGCUAUAAGCCGUUGCAACCCUCUAUUUUCUUAUAUAAUCAUCUUGUAAGCCCUUUGUGAGCAAUGAAAAAUCAUUUUCAGCGUGUUUCCAAUA